AGUGAACGCUGGCGGUAGGCCUAACACAUGCAAGUCGAACGGCAGCACAGGAGAGCUUGCUCUCUGGGUGGCGAGUGGCGGACGGGUGAGGAAUACAUCGGAAUCUACCUUUUCGUGGGGGAUAACGUAGGGAAACUUACGCUAAUACCGCAUACGACCUACGGGUGAAAGUGGGGGACCGCAAGGCCUCACGCGAUUAGAUGAGCCGAUGUUCGAUUAGCUAGUUGGCGGGGUAAUGGCCCACCAAGGCGACGAUCGAUAGCUGGUCUGAGAGGAUGAACAGCCACACUGGAACUGAGACACGGUCCAGACUCCAACGGGAGGCAGCAGUGGAGAAUAUUGAACAAUGGGCGCAAGCCUGAUCCAGCCAUACCGCGUGGGUGAAGAAGGCCUUCGGGUUGUAAAGCCCUAUUGUUGGGAAAGAAAUCCUGUCGAUUAAUACUCGGUGGGGAUGACGGUACCCAAAGAAUAAGCACCGGCUAACUUCGUGCCAGCCGCCGCGGUAAUAC
rnacentral:rRNA from 1 species